UACGUAGGGUGCGAGCGUUGUCCGGAAUUAUUGGGCGUAAAGAGCUUGUAGGCGGUUUGUCGCGUCUGCCGUGAAAGCCCAGGGCUUAACCCUGGGUCUGCGGUGGGUACGGGCAGACUAGAGUGUGGUAGGGGAGACUGGAAUUCCUGGUGUAGCGGUGAAAUGCGCAGAUAUCAGGAGGAACACCGGUGGCGAAGGCGGGUCUCUGGGCCGAUAUUGACGCUGAGGAGCGAAAGCGUGGGGAGCGAACAGG
rnacentral:rRNA from 1 species